UACGUAGGGUGCAAGCGUUGUCCGGAAUCAUUGGGCGUAAAGAGCUCGUAGGCGGUCUGUCGCGUCUGCUGUGAAAACCUGGGGCUUAACCCUGGGCUUGCAGUGGGUACGGGCAGACUAGAGUGCGGUAGGGGAGACUGGAAUUCCUGGUGUAGCAGUGAAAUGCGUAGAUAUCAGGAGGAACACCGAUGGCGAAGGCAGGUCUCUGGGCUGACACUGACGCUCAUGCACGAAAGCGUGGGGAGCAAACGGG
rnacentral:rRNA from 1 species